UCGUGCGGCAUCGUGAAGAAUUUUCUUUGACGGCGAGCGGCGGACGGGUGAGUAAUAUCUGGGGAUCUACCUAAAAGAGGGGGAUAACUACUGGAAACGGUAGCUAAUACCGCAUGAUAUCAAAUGAUUAAAGCAGGGGAUUAAAUCAAAAUUUAUUUUGAUAUAACCUUGCGCUUUUAGAUGAACCCAGACGAGAUUAGCUAGUAGGUAAGGUAAAGGCUCACCCAGGCGACGAUCUCUAGCUGGUCUGAGAGGACGGCCAGCCACACUGGAACUGAGACACGGUCCAGACUCCUACGGGAGGCAGCAGUGGGGAAUAUUGCACAAUGGGGGAAACGCUGAUGCAGCUAUGCCGCGUGUGUGAAGAAGGUCUUCGGAUUGUAAAGCACUUUCAGCAAGGAAGAAAGCAAACAUGCUAAUACCAUAUUUGUGUGACCUUACUUGCAAAAGAAGCACCGGCUAACUCCGUGCCAGCAGCCGCGGUAAUACGGCGGGUGCGAGCGUUAAUCGGAAUUACUGGGCGUAAAGCGUACGAGGCGGCUUAUUAAGUCAGAUGUGAAAUCCCCGGGCUUAACCUAGGAACUGCAUUUGAAACUAAUAAACUAGAGUAUCGUAGAGGGAGGUAGAAUUCCAGGUGUAGCGGUGAAAUGCGUAGAUAUCUGGAGGAAUACCAGUGGCGAAGGCGACCUCCUGGACGAUAACUGACGCUCAGGUACGAAAGCGUGGGGAGCAAACAGGAUUAGAUACCCUGGUAGUCCAUGCCGUAAACGAUGUCGAUUUGAAGGUCGUGGUAUUUUUCUGUGAUUUUCGGGGCUAACGUGUUAAAUCGACCGCCUGGGGAGUACAACCGCAAGGUUAAAACUCAAAUGAAUUGACGGGGGCCCGCACAAGCGGUGGAGCAUGUGGUUUAAUUCGAUGCAACGCGAAAAACCUUACCUACUCUUGACAUUUAGAGAAUUCAGCAGAGAUGCUUCAGUGCCUUCGGGAACUCUAAAACACGUGCUACAUGGCUGUCGUCAGC
rnacentral:rRNA from 1 species